rnacentral:rRNA from 1 species
CACUCUAGAGAGACUGCCAGGGAUAACCUGGAGGAAGGUGGGGAUGACGUCAAAUCAUCAUGCCCCUUAUGCUUAGGGCUACACACGUGCUACAAUGGGUAGUACAGAGGGUUGCCAAGCCGUAAGGCGGAGCUAAUCCCUUAAAGCUACUCUCAGUUCGGAUUGUAGGCUGAAACUCGCCUACAUGAAGCUGGAGUUACUAGUAAGCGCAGAUCAGAAUGCUGCGGUGAAUGCGUUCCCGGGUCUUGUACACAC